AGUGGCGGACGGGUGAGUAACGCGUGAGAAUCUGCCUUCAGGAUGGGGACAACAGUUGGAAACGACUGCUAAUACCCAAUAUGCCUACGGGUGAAACCUUUUUUGGCCUGAAGAUGAGCUCGCGUCUGAUUAGCUAGUUGGUGGUGUAAUGGACUACCAAGGCGACGAUCAGUAGCUGGUCUGAGAGGAUGAGCAGCCACACUGGGACUGAGACACGGCCCAGACUCCUACGGGAGGCAGCAGUGGGGAAUUUUCCGCAAUGGGCGAAAGCCUGACGGAGCAAUACCGCGUGAGGGAGGAAGGUUCUUGGAUUGUAAACCUCUUUUCUCAGGGAAGAAUUUUGACGGUACCUGAGGAAUAAGCAUCGGCUAACUCCGUGCCAGCAGCCGCGGUAAUACGGGGGAUGCAAGCGUUAUCCGGAAUUAUUGGGCGUAAAGAGUCCGUAGGUGGUCAUGCAAGUCUGCUGUCAAAGCCCACAGCUCAACUGUGGAUCGGCGGUGGAAACUGUGUGACUUGAGUAUGGUAGGGGUAGAGGGAAUUCCCAGUGUAGCGGUGAAAUGCGUAGAUAUUGGGAAGAACACCGGUGGCGAAAGCGCUCUACUGGACCAUAACUGACACUGAGGGACGAAAGCCAAGGUAGCGAAAGGGAUUAGAUACCCC
rnacentral:rRNA from 1 species